UUCCCCCCCCCAUAUUUAUUUAGUGUCCCCACCCACCGCUCAGGGGUGGGGGCCAGGGGGAGGACAGUAGGUCCCCCCCCUCAUUAUGGCCCCUACCCUCCGCACAGGGGUGGGGGCCGGGGGGGAGAGGACAGU